ACAGCGUCUAGUUUAGUGAAUUAAAGCGUCCGAAUUGCGGCAAACAGACGGUUGAACUGCAUGUGUGUCAGUUAUAAACACAUUUCUAAGGAGACGGGAGCGUGUCUGUGGAGUGAAGGGAGCUGAAGACGCCGACGAGGAGCUGUGGUUGACUUGGUUCUUACACCAAACCAUGAGCCCCACUGUACCGCCCUCAAAUGGUACGGCCCGGUUCUCUCACCACCCCCUUUCUUCUGAGGACCAGAACUUUCCCUGGAGAGGUCGGGAAUAACGCUGUGUGACAGCUCUGAGUGAUGUGCUUUUCAGCACAGAGGCUGCACAUGACUGCAGGCACAAAUGAGCAGCAUUCUGAAUAACCCUCCUUUCAGACACGUUUGUUUGUGUGGAUAUGAGAACCGUGACUGCAGGUAUCUGAGCAGUGCACCACGGUUCGUCCCUCGCCACAUUCUCUUUGCCACUUCUGCACAUGGGCCAGGAGAUUGAGGAAAGCCUUCUUUGAGUCUGGCACAUCUCGAUACGCAGACCAUCGCAGGAAUUGGAACUGGCACACCACCAGCUGACCCUCCUGGAGCUAGCAAUGGACAAGAAAAAAUGCCCAAUAAUAUAUCACCCACUAUAAAUUUUUGAGUAUGUUUAUGGGAGUAUACAGCAGCAUAGAGCUUUUUGUUUGCCUAGGUUGAGCUCUCUGGAGUGCAAACUCAGCAGGGUUGAGGCCGUGAUGAAUGAGUCUGUGGGGAAGAGCAACACUGGAGAGAUACACACAAGGCCUGAUGUACUCACUCCUCUGGCCCAAAACACAAGCUUCAUUAAUAUCCAGCCCUGAGGGACACCCCAGAGACUACCCUUGAGCACCUCAAAUAUUACCAUGGGCACACUGACCGGUGCUCUGAGCUCUGUGCUGAUAGAAAAAGCAACUUCAGCUUUUUUUUUUUUUUUAUUAAAGAUGUCAUUUCACUAGAAACCAUUUUUUACUGAGUUGCAUAUGCAUGCUGCACGUUCUACCUCCAUU